UAAGUCGUAGGUGACGAGCGUUAUCCGGAUUUACUGGGCGUAAAGCGCGUGCAGGCGGCGCGGCAAGUCGGGCAUGAAAGCUCCUGGCUCAACCGGGAGAGGUUGCCCGAUACUUCCGCGCUCGAGGGCAGGAGAGGAAGGCGGAAUUCCGGGUGUAGUGGUGAAAUGCGUAGAGAUCCGGAGGAACACCAGUGGCGAAAGCGGCCUUCUGGUCUGCUCCUGACGCUAAGACGCGAAAGCCAGGGUAGCGAACGG
rnacentral:rRNA from 1 species